ACACUUGCUGUUAACCUUGUGACGAUGCGAUACCGUCGCAACUUUUACCGUUUGUGGGAAUUCUACCCUUAUGAGGAUAAAAAAGAGGAUGAAAAUUUCAAUGGAAACUACGUCAUUUUUAUUGUUAAAGAUAUGUGACAAACUCACCGGGCUUCGGAGGUAGAGCCGGCGCGGGCUCCGCGGGCGCGGGCUGCGCGGGCGGCGGCUCUAACAUCACCACGAAGUUGGACGGGAACACGCCCGACCGUCCCGCGCGUCGCCCUUGCCACCAGCCCUCUUCCACCUGACACCACCACGUUCAAUAAUAAAUAAAUCUAAUAUA